rnacentral:rRNA from 1 species
UACGGGGGGGGCAAGCGUUGUCCGGAAUUACUGGGCGUAAAGAGCGUGUAGGCGGCUUUGCAAGUCCGUUGUGAAAACUCGAGGCUCAACCUCGAGACGCCGGUGGAAACUGCAAAGCUAGAGUCCGGAAGAGGAGAGUGGAAUUCCUGGUGUAGCGGUGAAAUGCGCAGAUAUCAGGAAGAACACCCGUGGCGAAGGCGGCUCUCUGGGACGGUACUGACGCUGAGACGCGAAAGCGUGGGGAGCGAACAGG